rnacentral:rRNA from 1 species
AAUGAACGCUGGCGGCAGGCCUAACACAUGCAAGUCGAGCGAGCGGCGGACGGGUGAGUAAUGUAUGGGGAUCUGCUCUAUAGAGGGGGAUAACUACUGGAAACGGUGGCUAAUACCGCAUACUUUCGGAUGAACCCAUAUGUCAUUAGCUAUUAGGUGGGGUAAAGGCUCACCUAGGCGACGAUCUAUAGCUGGUCUGAGAGGAUGAUCAGCCACACUGGAACUGAGACACGGCCCAGACUCCUACGGGAGGCAGCAGUGGGGAAUAUUGCACAAUGGGCGCAAGCCUGAUGCAGCCAUGCCGCGUGUGUGAAGAAGGCCUUAGGGUUGUAAAGUACUUUCAGCGGGGAGGCGGUACCCGCAGAAGAAGCACCGGCUAACUCCGUGCCAGCAGCCGCGGUAAUUC